GCUUUGAACAACUUAACCUCUGACCUGGCUGUUAUCUACAAGUGUUGGGCAUGACGCCAAGGUAUCUUUUCAUUUCUGUUUUUUUUUCUGUGAUUAAUGUGCUUCUUCCUAUUCUGAUGUCCUCAUAAUGGCUCAGGGCAAAUGUCUCGACUCUUGUUGGGGGUCCUGGCAUUGUGCCUGGAGCUGGAGAAAUCAGAGAGACAAAGUGGACUAAUCUGUCCAAAUAUGUGCAAAUUAGUACAUCACAUCCUCACCGCAGCAACAUGACAUUCUUUUAGCAUGUACAGGCAUGAAAAUAGAAGAGAGACAGAGACUGUUCAUGCCAUGCAAGACCUACAAUAGAAAGCUUUAUUUGACAUGUUUUGUCAGUUGACACCUCAAGUAUGGUGUUACCUUGGAGAUAGUCUUUUGUUCUCCUGUUUGUUAGGAGCAAAACGCACAUACUGAAUACUUUUUAUUAUUAGAGGAGCCACUUCAUUGUUAGAAUGUGCCUCAGUGUGAACAUUUAUAAAACAUCCAUUGAAAUUAUUUUUGCAGUUAAAAAAAAAAAAACACCUUUGAAAACUACAGCGCUCCUGAAGUCCCAAAGCAUGAUGUGUUUUAUCAUAUGGACCAAGUUAAUUAUAUGUGCUCAAGAGUGACCAACCCUGUGAUAGUUGGUUUACCUACCUGAGACCACAGUGACAGCUGGGAUAGGCAUGACUCUGAAUGGGAUCAAUAGCGUAGAUAGACACACUGUAGUGCAAUGAUUAGAGGUAUUGCUACACAGCGAGAAGGAUCUUGGUUCAAAUUUCAAGUCUGCAUGUUCAUCCUGUGCAUAUGUGGGUUCCCUUUGGGCAGUACAGCCUCCUCUCUCUGUCCAAAUCUGAAUUGCCAGUUUGUAUAGGUGUGAGUACAUCUGGUUGUUGCCCCUGUAAACCCAACCCUAGAUACAGUGAAUUGCAGACUGUGUAUGCAAAGAAAUUAAUCACCUUUGCGCAGUUAAGUUGUAAACCUUGGCAAAAGCAUUUGAUUGUGUUGUGUUAAAACUGUAGUGCAACUUAUGGUAACACUUUAUUUGAUGCAUAUCUCUAUAACGCAUGAUACAUAUAUUUGUAAUGAGUUAUAAUCCCAUUAUAGCCAUGCAUACUUAUAGUUAUAAACACUCAAAAAUGAUCAUAAUGCUUUACAGCAAUAAUCAUAUACACACAUUUUAAAGCAUUUUCUUAUGACUUACAAGGUCAGGUAUUGUAAUGUGUUAUGGUUAUUGCUACAAAGCAUUAUGGUCAUUAAUGAGUGUUUAAAAUGAUAGUUAUGCAAGUUUAUAAGCAAAUUAUAACACAUCAUAAAUAUAUGUAUAAUGCUUUGUCUAUGUGUGCAUUGUCAGUGAGUUGUUAAUGGUUAUAACACAUGAUAAUACCUGACCUUGUGAGUCACGAUAAAAUGCUUAAUAAUGUGUUAUGAUUAUUGCUAUAAAGCAUUAUGAUCAUUUUUGAGUGUUUAUAACUAUAGUUAUUCAGUGCUUUAACUUGAUUAUAAAGAAUUAUACAUGUAUUUAUAAUGCGUUAUAGAGAUAGGCAUCAAUUAAAGUGUUACCCAACUGAUAUACUACAGUUUGCGUGUUUAAAUUGCGUGUUUAAGUCAAAAUCACUGUUUCCGAUAAGUUUAUCACACAUGGAAAGAGAUUGUAUAGUCAACCACCUCCCAAACAACUUAUCAACCUCUAUGUACAUCAUUAGAAAACAUAAGAAAUGCUCAAAAAAUAUAAAAUGGUCUAACUUAAAUUAUAUCAUGUUAUGAAAAGGUGUAUGUUGUUUCUAUCUCUUGUUGAGCUAAAAUCUCAUUUUCACUAAGAUGAUUCAGAUAAACUAGCUGCAAUAAAUUCAUCCAGUCCCAUGUUUAUAAUAUGAUUCAAAGGUUUAAUUCUUCUAAAUUGUGUUUUAAUCUUAAUGGGCAGUGUUUUUCAUUUUCUUUUUUUUUAAACAAAAAAAAAAUAGCUUUGUAUCUAAGACUGUAGUGACUGCAAAUAAUGGUUAUCUAAAUGUCCUAGAGGAAGCAAUAACUGAAUGGGCAUUAAGUGCAGCAGCUUGUUCUUGUCAGUCCACAUGAUGAAUGAUGUGGAUUAGCCCUAAGUGUCUGUUUACUGAGACAGGUUGUUGUGUUGCACACAGAGAGGUCAUUAGAGGCAUCUGUAGAACUUGUGAGUCUGUACAUUUGAUUAAAGGCAGUUCUUUUUCUCAAAAGCAUUCAGGGGUAAUUUUAGGACAAAGAUAGGACUGAGCAAUUAUUGGUAGUGCAGUGUGACAGAAUCAAUGUAAUGGACUAUUUUAGUCUCGUCACAUUGUAUUAUCUGAGCUGCACAGAUUGACAUGUGGAAAAGUUGACCUGUGAUGCUGUGCCAGAGGAAUGUUGAAUGUUGAGUGAUAGCUACCUCUUCAGAAACAGGGUCAUGCCUUGCUGUUGUUUUAUCUUUCACACCUGAUGAACAGCUUGGGUGAGAAAGUGGGUGAGACAGGAACUCAUAGUUCCUGUAACAAUAGAGGGUAUGCACUGAUGUCACAUGGCAGCCAGAACACACCCGCUUCAGUCACACUGAGUGACAAGACGUCCGACAACAUGACAACUGAAAUAAAAGGCAGUUGGACUCUACGGAGAUCCCUGAAGUUUACCGAAGACACCGUUAUCUCCAGACAUCAACAUGUGGACAGAGAUCAAGUUUCUUGUCAUUUAUGGACCAGAUCUGCACUAAACAAUGCCUGCAGACAAAAAUGGUCCAAACUGCACACAGAGAACAUUACCAUACCAUGCCAUUGUUAUUGAAAUAGUGGCCUAUUUAAAGGUGAAACUCUGAAUGUAACCUGGUCCAGACCAUAGGACGUAUAUGCUAUGGACAAUUUGGUUCUGCCUUCCACCAUUAUACAGAUUUGAAGCUGAAAAGCUCUCAGUGUUACCGCGAUUUUUCUCCAAUUCCUGAAACCAGCAUUGCACAGUAGCGUUGUAUGUAUUCAGCAGGAGAGUUGCUGUGAUGACGCUCGGCUCAAACAGCGUAUCCCCGGGUGAGCUACUCAAUCUUUGUACACCCAUAGGCUGUAUCAAGUGUCAAUCAUAGAAAACAUGAACAUGAACUUUUAAAAAUGUAGCUGUACAGAAAAAAGAGGACUUGAGCACAAACCAGUCUUACAGUAACUACAUGUCUAUAUCACAAGCGGGGGGGAGAAAAAAUUAGAUUCUGUGUAAUAAAUUUCUAAAAUUUGUCCACAGCUCCAUAGGGAUGGCUGGAGGAGGCGGCACUUAUGACCCACACUGCAUCCCGUCACCAGAGGGUGCUGUUCUCGGGUGGCUUCACACAGCGAGGAAGCAGACGGCGUCCAUUCUAUGUACAGUCUAUGGUCCAGACCAGCUUAGCUUUGCUUUGUAAGUUAGCAUGGUUAUCUAGUCAGCUUUGUGAUACUAAAAUUUCUGAAAUUCAAGCUUUCAAUUGGAACUUUAUUUUGUGAUACUGUGUUUUUGCAACAUUCAAGACUGAACAAUGACACUGCUACUCAGUGCUAGCUAAAUGUUCCUCUUCUUGCAUUAUUUCUAUCACUCGUGCUGUGGGUAUGACCUCUGUGACAUUGCCUACCAUGAUAUCAGGUGUAUACCAUCUCCAGGGAAUGAAGGUCCAGCAUAUCAUGCAUGGCACUAAGCAAACAUAUAGUGCAGGUCUAGACAGUACCCUCAUAAUGUUUGUUAAAGAGCCUUAACGUGAAUCCACCAAUGAGGAUUCACUGUGUGGAAUAGUGGUGAAGAAAAGCCGUUUAACCUUGAGCGUAACCACAACUAUUUAUCAUUGUUUAAUGAAGAGCUGUUAAUGAAACCCAGAGGGGGCAUGUCUUGAAUCAAAGUGGUCCAAGUUGCAUCAAUGCCUUCUUCAUCAGUAGAUAAUCUCCUCUGAGAUGUCUCUUCCUCCACAGAGUUUUUUCUUUGAGCACCUCAUGGGCUUGAAAUUUCCACAUGACGCCUGUUUUAGAUGUACACAUGACCUGGCUUCCCCUUAAUUACACAUGAUGUCACUUUUGUCCUGCUCUGACACAUACACAACUUAGACUUUAGAUUUAGAGCUGAUAUGGAGAAACUUUCACCUUCUGUAGAUGAAUGGAGAAACAAUCCUUAAGUGUCAAACUCUACAGAAAUCAUUCUGCACAGUGAAGCAGAAACAAUAUAUGCAGAGAAGGGGUCAUGAACAUACCACCCAAGUGUCCAAUUGUUGAUACAGACUUGUUACCAAACACUUACCUGACUGUGGAGUUAUUAGUAUUUUUGUGUUGAAGUGUCAGGUACAGAAAAACAACAUAUUGGAACAAGGAUAACAACAUCUCUCUCUGUAGAGUGCUUUCAGCGUGUUCACUCCCGUGGAUCCAUUGUUGGAAAAACUGUAACCACCGAAGGUCUCUUCUUUUAUAACUCUCCAAAUCUUUGUGUUUGUGUGUUUUGCAGCUGUCAUUUUUCAAACUUCUCAGGGUUUACAGAGAAAGGAGCUUGAGUUACAUCAGAGAACAUUAUUGUGAAUAACAAUGUUUCUAUCAAAGUUCAAUUUCAGCCCUGCAUAGAUUUUCCAAAAUGGAUUCAAGUAGAUGAAAAGCUAGAUUUUUAUCUAACAAGAUCCAAAAGGAACCGUUUUGUAUAACUUUCAGUACAAUGUCAGGAAAUUUUAAUAACACAUUGUUUAGAGUAAUAGGUAACUCAUCAAAGGUAACUUUGUUUAUACAGCAUACUUGAUUGUUUCCAUUCGUAUGUUUCUUUCAUAAAUCUACACAUCAAGUGAUUUUUACAUUAAUUUUAGAUGUGUUCUAUUUUUAUUUAUUUUUUGCUAUAUAACAUACAGUCAGAUACUUCUCACAUUAAGGUUAAUAUUUCUUGACUAAGUUUAUCAAACAGGAUGCUGACAGAAAGGAACUUAGACUUUUGCAAUUACACUGUCACCACUUUUUACUAAAAUGAUUUUCCUGCAACAGAAAUGAGGAUCCUGAAGGAGUCAAAAACUGAGACAGCUCAGUUUUGUCCUAAUAUAAGCUGUUUUACAGAUGGAAAUUUAUACAGUAAAUGAAUAGUAGAAACAAUAAGAAGGUUUUUAUUAAUAUACAAAGAAAAAUGAAUAAUUGUCGAGUCAUAAUUUACCAGUCAAGUUUUUUUUCCUAAAAGAGAGUCACUUAAAGAGGUUGAAUUGAAGCCACUCAAAUGACUUCCAUACACAAAACUAGGCAGAUGGUAACGAUGUUAUUAGUGAUAUGGCAUUGUUUUCGUUUUUAUCAAACUUGGGAUAUGAACAUCUGUAGACUUGUGAUUGAAAAGACACCAACAAACUACAAAUCAUGGUUAUUUUGUGUUGUCAAUAAAGAUUCACUUGACUGGUUGUGGAUGGAAAAAACUUGAAACUUAACUGAAGAAACAUCUAAUCAUAAGUAACAACUUGUCAACCAAUUUAUUUAUUUACAUUUUGCUUUGUGAUACUGCAAGCAGCCGUCGCACCAAACGAUGAGAAAAACUAAAAAAUAAAUAAAUAAAGGAGCUGAAUUGUUUACUUCCACAGCCCCUUAACUCUCAGACACAGAACAGUGAACUAAUUGGUUACUCUCACAAGUUUGUUCGUCACCACAAAACUUGGAAGGCAAAUUAUUUUAAAUGUUUUUCUCAUUUCGGUGUUGGCAUUUUAGGAAACAGAGAAAACAUGAUUGACAAGAUGUGACAAAGUGAAAACAUUUUUCAAUUUCAGCAUUUUUUCUUUUGAAUUUCUUAUAAGAACCAUAAUGGACUGAAUAAUUUGUGUUUAAGUGGGUUUUUAAUGUUUGUUUUGUUUUGUGUUUGUUUAUUUGUUAAGUGUUUUGCCUGCAUAUAUCUAUUUUUUUUCAUCAUUAUGUCUCUUAUUCCCUCCCUGUAGUAAGAGUCUGUUUUAGUUGUGUUUCUGAUCUUGCUGCUAUGGCAACAUCUGUAAGUAAGAGGUUUAUUCUCAGUAUAAUUAGUGCUCCAAAGACGAAAAAGCAUCAAACAGAUACAGCGGUGAUUUACUGUGUUUGAAGCAACCCCCACCCAGCACACACAGUGUCUCUUCUUAAGUUACACAAACAACUUAGGCCCUACAAAACCGUCUUUAAGACGUAGUACACAGGUCUAAAAUUGGGCAACUGCUUUAAAUCUGAUCCUUGCCUGUUACUGGCUCAGCUCAAAUGUUCUCCAAGUAAACUUCAGUGAACUGAGUUAUCAUAAGAUGUCCUUUAGAAAUAAAAGGAUUUGCAGGAAAAGAGAAAAAGACCUGCUUAUAGGUUCUUUGAGAUGCAGCUUUGUCUUUGCUAAAUAUCCCCAUUUAUAUGCAGGUGAGUGAGCAGGUGGGUGCAGCUCUAUUAUACCCUUGAUUUGUAUUUCGUAAACAACACGUCAGAGAUGAUGGCAGAGAUGGGGAACAAUCAGGUUCAAUAAUUAAAUCAACCCUCAUGCGGAACACAACACUAAUAUUAGAGAUUCUGCAAACGCAUCUUUCAGCUAAAUUCAGAUUUAAAAAGCUGCAUUAUUCAUCAGAUGUCACAGGGUGGAAAACUGGAGCCGAUAGUCUUGACUGAAAUGGGUUUUAAACUUACAGAAAUAUCUAAAUGCCUAUUUUUCAAAUGUUUUAUGGGAAAACAAAAAGUUCUUGUAACACAUUUAUUUAAAAAAAACAUUGAAAUCAUAUCUAAUGUUUGCUGACUGGCAGGUUGAGCUUUAUGCAGAUGGGCUUUCUUACAUCAGUGAAGCAACAUGUCUUGUUCAUUGAUAGAUAAUGCACGAGUAGGUCAGUUUUAGCCUUUGUCUGAGGAUGAGCUCUCUGUGACCAUCAAUUAUCUUUAAGUCAUUACACUUUUGUGGAGAAACGUAUUGAUCUCUGCCCACCUCCGACAUAACCUUUCAAAGCUGUUUAAAAGGUAGCAUAAGGUGAAAGAGCUUAAAUGCUUUAAAGGAUUGGAGUUUAAUAAGAAAUGUAUCAUCAGUAGGUGUGCUGUGUACAGUCAGUUUAAGCAAGCAAGGUCCUUGUACUGUAUGUAGACACAGAAGCUAAGCCAUGCACUGCUGCAGACAGACCAUGAGAAACACAUCCUGCAGACGUUUCAGUUAAAGUGAGUUUUGAAGAGCUUUAUUUUUUUGGUGGAAAAUGCUCAACCACUAUUUUUGCACUUAAGGAGGGCCAUGGGGGCGACCAGUUCUCCCAGCACCCCCCACCCCCCAUGGCCCAGGUGAGAGGCUUUUCAGUUAGAGCUAUCUAUUGGAAGAUCAAGGAAGGAGGUACAGAAGCUCAACAGACUUCUAGUUUUAAAAGAGGUGAGUAUGUAUUUUCAGCGAUUUUCAGUUACACUUGUUGCAUCCCAAAAAGGUAAAAUCAUUCAUCAUUAAAUCAAACCAAGGCAUGUGUUAAAUGCACUACCACUUCUACCUGCUUUAUAAGCUGGACAUGUAGCCAAAGUAGCUGCAGCUGAGUGCACCAUUAGCAAAACUCUUAUAAUAAGGGAAUCAAAGCAAUCUCAGGAAUUAACUUUGGAGCUUUUACGCUCUGACUAUUCGGAACAAGACAAUUACCAUAAAAUAACACAAGCUGCAUGACAUGAACCAAAGGAAAACAUUAAGAAAUCCUCUAAAAAUGGUCUGACCCUGUGAUACCAUGAUGACUUCACCAGUCCUGUAAAAACAAGAAAUACUGGGCUGCCUCCUCAGGACCACAUGAUGAACUUAACAAAAGAACAUCCAAAGAUUACAACAGACAUCAAUCAAAUAGUUAUGAUGUUAAAAAAAAUGAAGACGUAAUAAAAGUGACUAAAACUAAUUCAAGACCAUGUGUUUGCCUUAACUUACUCUGUGUGAACUAACUCAGUGCAUAAAUGAAACCCUGAUAUGGAGUGCUGCGAUAAUAGAGGCAAACUAGAGCAACAUUGAUUAAUGAAAAGAACAAUGAAACAUAUGUGAAUGAAGAUUAGGGAAGCAAGUGACAAACAAGUAAGAGUCUACCUUUGUUACAUCAUCCCAGGCUUUUAAACACUGUUUCAAGCUGCACUUGUACCACAUUUUUUUGUUGUAUUCCUCUGAGGGAAUUACAGAUUAGUCGGUUUGGGUUUAAUUGUUUGUCUAUAUCCAUCAAAUUUCCUUUUGUCUCACUUUUUCAGCUCAUCAGGUGGCAGCAGACGGCUGUUCACUGUUGAGUCUGGUUCUGCUUGAGGUUUCUGCCUGUUAAAAGGAAAAUUUUCCUUACAACUGCUGCACUACUUAUAUUUUAAUGCAAAUUUUAGAGCUUGUGAAUUGUGCAGUGGUUCUCUGUGUGUCUGUGUAUUCAAUCUUGUGUGUUUUGGUGCUGUCUCGGCCAGGUGUUGCUCCCUAGCAGUUGUUCACUCACUGACCUGGCAAUGGUUAUCUACAUGGGUUGAUGAUGUAGCUUACAAGUGAAUCACCUGGAUGUGUUUCCCCAUUUGGUGAGCUCAUGCCUGUGUGUCUGCACGCUCACCAACUGCUACUCAUUAGUAGAUGAGAUGGGUCGAAUUUGUCCCAUCUUAAAGGGAUAUUCCGGUGUAAAAUUAGGUUAGGGUCAAACAAGCUGUAACACUGAGUUUAGACACCAACACGAGAGAUGAAUGUUGCCGACUGCUUGCUUCUCUAGUUAUACCAACUGCUGGAUGAGAUUAAGUGAGUUGUGUUUAGUCUCUUUGUUAAAGAAAUAAGGCAAAGUGAAAAAGAUGUUUGGUGGCUAGUACUAUGGCUGGGACCCUAUAUGUACUGUUGAUGAAGUUAGGUGCUGUUCUGAGCAUAAUUUGUGGCUAUAGAGUGGCUUUUUGGUUGAGGUUUGUGUGUGGUUCCAUAGACCGCUGUGUAUUGUUAUCAUGCGCUCAUUACUAAAGUUGAUAUAACUAGAGAAGCAAGCGGUCGGCAACAUUCAUCUCUCAAGAGGGUCUCUAACUCAGUGUUACGGUGUGUUUGACCCUAAAUUAAGUUUAUGCCGGAAUAUCCCUUUAAGAUUGGGUCUUGUUAGUUCAUCAAACAAUGAGCGUGGUCUAGACCUGCUCUUUUUUUGGAAAGCGUCUUGGGAUAACGACUGUUGUGUUUCUGCGCUAUAUAAAUAAAUUUGAGUUGAUUUGAAAAGGUUUCCACUGGAUGGCAAAGUCUUGAAUGGUGUUGCUGUUAUAACUGUAUAACUGUUGGCUAUGCUGAGGAUACUGAACCUGAAUCAAAACGGAGCAGAAGGAUGGACACACAAACACACUUCAGACUUUGCUAUAAGAGCUCACAGUAAAAACUAAUCAACCCAAACUUUAUUCUGUAAAAUCCAGUUUUUGAGGUCCCACAUGAUCACUAAUGUUGGCUUGCUUCAGUGUUUUUGUAAAAAAAAAUAAGAAUGAUGGCUGGGUUAGUUAUGACAUGUUCACAUUGCUGGAGUCAUUAUCAUUGACAGACCUCUAAAACUGGAUUAGUACCCAGGCACAAUUUUGUUGUAGUCCAAAACUGUUUUACAUGUUUCAGUAUGUAGGAGGGCAGAUUUAAAUCAUCACAUGCUGAUAAAUUACACAACACUCUUUCAUGUGGAAAAAAUAAGUUUGGCAUUAAGAGCACAAAAUGUUUCAGUGCAUUUUCAUUAAAGCAGUGUGCAGCUGUGGGUACGACACUCUCAGCACAAAAUUGGUCUCAGCAGCAAGGUCACAUUGAUGGUAUUUGAUGUAAAGUGACAGGAAGUGGUAUGAAACUGCCCCCGUUGCUCAUAACACAUGACUCAACUGACCUAUAAAACAGAAGCUUUCUGUCUCUUUACCAUGUCAGGCCUCCGAUCAAACACUUGUUACCUGAACUGGGGACAUGAACUUUAUGUGUUACUUUCUGAAUAAAGUCAGCCUCUGAAACAAAGGAUGUCAUAUUUCCUUGUUAAUGCAACCAAUUUCACUUAUUUGUGUCUUAAUAAAAGUUUUGACCUGGUGAUGCUGACUUCAUAUUCUGGGUAUGAAUAGGAUGAAAAAUUAGUAAUAUGCUGUGUAAAAAUUAUGUCUCAAUUCAUGGAUUUGACAGAGCAAUGUAAAUUUUACAAACCAGCAUCAUGACAAUCACGAUUAAUAAAUCACCUGUUUUUGGGUUCAUACUGUUGAUGUAAGCUAUUGAAGCCUGUGUGUGUGUGUGUGUGUGUGUGUGUGUGUGUGUGUGUGUGUGUGUGUGUGUGUGUGUGUGUGUGUGUGUGUGUGUGUGUGUGUGUGUGCGCGUAAUUUACCUUUUACAGUGAGGCUGAGACUUAUAAGCAACAAAUAAAUGGGCAUUCAGUUAUAUGAACAGAAGAAUUGCAGCCUUUUGCUUUGAAGUUACAUCUUAAGGGGUGCAUUUUGCUUCAGCUUUGAUCAAAACACACUGUUCCUUCUCAGGUCGGUAACUGGUUUGUUAACAAUGAAGAACACGCAGAGGUAAGUCCCGGUGAGCUCUACUUGAAACUGUCAUUCCCGGAGGCUGUUUACUCAUCACACCAUAACUGGUUGUUCUUAGAUGGUAAAAAACCAAACAUUUUAUCUUUAUUGGAAAGUCCUUUAUACUCUUCUUUUUAAAAAAACAAUAUUAGAGAAUCAUUUAAACCAUCUACACCAUAUUAAGUGCUGGGAGAGCACUCAGAGAGUGACCCCAGUGUUCAUGCAUGAAGAAAGUGUAUGCAAAACAAACCACUACCAUCUGAUGUCCUUCAGCAGAAUUAAAACAACCAUGAGUGAUCAAAAAUGCCACAUAAAACAAGCUUCUUUUAGCUGGUUUUGAACCGUCCAAAACUGUGGAUUUGAGGUCAAUACUGACAACAUUAUCUUUUUGCUGCUGUUAUUUUAAACAUAAAAACUUCUGUAUUACUGUUCUUUACACUCAUCAAAGCAUGGCCUCUCUAACAAGGUCCUAUUUUCCAUGGUCUGUGCUCCAUGAUGUGUUCACUGUACAGAAAUUAGUUAUGCAAUCUACUAAAUGUAGACCAGACUUGUUUAAAGUAAUGAAUAGACCCUUUAUGGCUUAACACCUAGCUUGCCAGAAGCUUUCGAGCUGUCAUGUUCCAUUAGUCUGAUAUUAUGUUUUUACACCAUGUAACAUAUAAAGAAAAAUAAUUACUUUAUGUUUAUAGGGUUGUUAACACUCUUAUGGAUUACUGUACAUUGAUUCAUAUAUAUUGGUCAGCCAUGUUUUAGUGGAAAAGGAGCAAAGCUGAGGCGCUGAAAGGUUUUUACUUUGAAGCAGCUAUUCAAGCUAAAGUUUUUGGAGAAUCCAGUCCUCUCCUCAGCCCACAUUUGAAUACUGAUAGCAGCUAUUUUGCCAGCAAUAACACAGACAGCCAGAAUGGACUUGUGUUACAAAGAACAGCAGGGCAGAGAAGAUCAGAGGACAGUCAGGCUGCUGUCUGAUAAAUAAACAGAGUUUCUGUUUAGGCUGUCACUCACACUGUUCAGCAGUUUUUGAUCUCAAGAAAAGAACACAUAUAAGGCAGAUAGAAAUACCCUUGUCUGCAAUAUCAAAUCAUAAAACAGCAUGAUGUUGGUGUAUUUUUAAGUUACACAACAAAAAACCUUUUAAAGAGUGUUGCUUCUGCUUGCUUGCGUCACUAUUCAAGAGAGCUUGAUUUGUGUUUGAUUACACAAAUCUUCAAGCAGUUGAUAGUCAACAGGCAUAUUAUAUUAAAAACUGAAACUAAUUUUUGGUCUGAUAUGGUUUGAAAUGUUCUUAUAAGUAAAAGCUUUGAGCCACAUAUAAGGUUUUAGGAAAAUGCAUGUUAUAAAAACAUGGUAAGGCUGAUGCAGUAGUUGACAAGAUGAGAGUUUUUUGAGGAAAAUGUUUUCAUGUUUUAUUUGCUCUUCUGACAUGUUUGACCCAAGAAGAGUAUAUAGGCACAAGAAAAAAAAACUUUAAAUGGAGCAACACCUUUGAGCUAGUCUAGGCAGGCAACUCACACUUUAAUUGAUUUACAUCUGAGACAUUUCCAACAUCCCCUGACAAACAUAUCCUCCCAGUAAGGCGGUCUAAUUAUGCCACAAGAAUUUCUACUCUUAUACAUCUAUGAAUGCCUCAGCUACCCUCAGACAGUGCUGCACCACCACCCCAUGCAGGCAGCGGCGCUCCUCUGUUUCUGAAUGUUCUGUUACGUUUUGUGAGGAAUGAUGAGGUUGGAGCUUAAAUGCCAAAUACAAAAAUUGUUCUAAAUUGUUGGUUGCUAGUCUGCACAAACGUGUACAGAGGCACCGUACGCAACUGUUGUUAACAUGAGGAGUGGGUCUCCUUUCACAGGGGCCACUAUCUUGUACCACAAUGUUUGUAACGCAUCACAGACAGGACAAACUGGUAACGGCUGCACGUGUCUUGGUGUCUGGAAAUUGUGCGGUUGAAAGACAAAGAAGAAGAGAGUGUUUUUAUGGACUAAAUGGACUGUGUCUUUAGUGCACUUUCUCUUGUCCUUUGAACACUCAAAUCGCUUUCCCAUUACAUGUGGCAUUCAACUAUUCGCUCGUACACUGGUGGAAGAUGCUACUAUGCAAAAACACCUAUCAUUAUCAACUGAUCCCGUUCACACACUGCAGGGUACAGCCAAAGCAGUACUGGAUUUAGUGUGUAGUCCAAGAACACUCAGAAAUGUGCACAGCAGAACACGGGAUUGAACCCUGACCCUCUGUUUGAGAGAUGACCGACCCUUCCACUGAGCCAAAGCCGCCCCUGAUACCGGCUUUGGCUCUUGUCAUGCAUCCCAGGAGCUCCACAUCUUUGAAGGCUAUAGUCAAUUUGGGAAUUUCAUCAGUGGGAGGGGUAAGCAAGAGAGCAUUUUAAUCUACAAUCACUAAAUAUUCCCAUGUCCACAUCCUGUACCUCUAAACAGUUUUGCUCUCAAUUGUUCAGACUGCUUGAGUAAACAUAUUCAAGAAAGCUGCAUACACUCCAAAGAUGGCUACAGAAAGAGCUCCGUGGCUAUGACUCAAAAUUAUGACUCAAAAUUAGCUAUGAUUGCAUUAAGGGUGGAACAAAUAAGUCAUUAGCUGGUUUCAAUCGCUUUGUUUCGGAAUAAUGUGCAGUUUUGCACUAUGCUUUUAAGACACUCACUCAGUAGGAAGGUGAGUCAUCAUAAGCUCAUUUUCUCCCACUAAUGGCAGCAUUUUAAGAGAAUAUUACCUUCCCUUAAAGGACAGACAACCCUUUUUCCAGACCUUCCACUGCCCAGGCAGCCUUUAAUUGUUGCUCCUUUUUGAUUCUGCCUUUUAGCUUCCCUCUAAGUGAAGGACAACAUGGCCGG